AAAUUCCCAAUGGUUAGAAUAACAUAAUACACAAGAACUAAAACUUAAUAGCAAUGCGAAAUAUGUAUCUAUCCACAACAAUAUUAUCUUGAAUGAAUCACCUUAUCUCUCCUCUUCGAAUAAGGAUUGAAGAAAUUACGCGUUUGCAACCGCGGGGACAAUCUCUCUCUCCAACAAACAAUGAAGAAAUCAAUUCAAUUCAUACAAUGUCUAACAAUUAUAAAUGAAAAUGCGGAAGCGCGAAGAUCACUAAGGACUUUUCGGUUGUAGCUUGGUUAGGUUUACAAACAAGGGUCAUUUCUAAGGCCAUUGAAAACGAAAUUGCCGAUGCAAAAGAGACAUUCACUGUACACUAUUCACACAUCUCAACUUCGUUCCAUUUGUUUCUCAUUUGAAACCUUCACAACUCUUAUUUCACAACUCAAUUU
rnacentral:lncRNA from 1 species